rnacentral:lncRNA from 1 species
CGUUAUCUCAAAAGAAAAUAACACUAAAACUGUGACCCGAACUGUAUGUAGAAAAUUGGUAAAAUAGUGCUGGGUCCACGCUAUUUUGCGCCGAAAGCAUGGGUACAUUGGUUAAUAUCUAAGUAACAUUCCGGGAAACGAAUGGAAGAAGGGAUCGAUCGUUUGCCGUUAUAUCAAUCCACCGAAAGCAGUAGACGGCACCAGAUACGUUUUCUUAGUUUAUCUACAGCCAAAUAACCAACCUCUUCAGUACGAAGACAUGGAGAAAGAAGGCAGUUUGCACCGACUUUCUUUCUCCGUUCGGGAAUUUUCGAAGAAGUAUUCUCUGGGAGAACCGAUAGCUGUGAAUUUCUUCGAAAUUCCAUACAAUGACAAGGAAAAAAUGGAGGAAAGGAAAAGGAAUGAGCAGAUCCGACAUAAUAGAAGACAUCCACCAACUAGGACAACUACUCCUACAACUACCACAGAAUCUUACUUGCAUUUAAAUAAUCCUCAUGCUAGUUGGUAAAACAUUGGAAGAAUGCGAGAUGUCCCCUGCAAAAUUAUACAAUUGAAAGACAUAAUGUUGGACCCCUUUUUUUCUGUAAGCUCUGACCACAGAGACGUCUAUCAUUUCUUAGUUAUUAUUUUAGUAUCAAAAUGUGUUCUGGUAGUUUUAGAUUCUACUUGUGGUAUGAAUCACUCCCUGCAAUCCUCAUGGUGAUGUUGUAUGACAGUGAUGUUAACAUGUAUUGAGUCCCGCGAAUUUUUAUGGAAAAUUGUGUUUUAGACUGCCGGAAAAUUUUAUCGUGCGUGUCCAAGCGGGAUUUAUUGACUAAUUAUUCUGGACAAUUAUGAUCAAUAAUAUCAUAAUUCUCUCUAGUGUUAAAUUGUCCUCCCGUCGAUAACACAGUUUGAAAUAAGUCUGUCGCACACAGAAGGACUAGGAAACUGCACAGUGACAAUGUUCUAAAAUCUCAUUAUAUCGUUAGAUGUUUUUUUAAAAAAAAAUAGUUGUUUUUGAUUUGUACUCCUUCUUUUUGCCUUUUCCUCCUUUCUUUGACUCGCUACUAAUUUUUAGUCUACUACAUUUGGUAACUGUGGGAAGUUUUUGCGCAGAAUAAAAAAAGAAUCAACAUGGGUUCCGUUUCCGAUUUAAAUAAUUCACCGGG